GUGUAACCUGUGCUCUCUCUCCACAGGCUGACCCGAGGCUGCCGUGUGACGCCGCAGACGCAACUUCCGGGUAGCCGGCUUGGUUUGGUUUGUUUGGUUUGGUUAGCAGGACGCUUAGCGUCGACCUGCUAUCUCGGUUUGUAUCUACUUUUCGGUAUUUAUAUCUGUGACCUGUUCUGCAUACUCUGUAUUGUAUUCGCUGCUUCUUCGCUGGAGCUCCGUCUGCAUCAACCACGAUACGCUUGGCUUCAAACAGCUCGUCCAGCAACCAACCCACAUCGGUGGAAACACGUUGGAUCUCGUUCUGACCCGCGGUGUUGACAUUUCGCAGCUAGUGGUCUCUUCCUACACCUCAGCUUUAUCAGACCACUUUUUGCUCACCUUCCAGGUGGUGGUAUCCUGCCCCUGCGACGAUCAGCAAGCUACUUUCAGCUGUCGCCGCAUCACACCUGCAACCAUUACAGCUAUGGAAGAUAAGUUAUCUGGUUCACUUGCACCUCUCUGUAACUAUAGUGGUUCUGUGGAGUGCCUUACUGAUGACCUCAACAUUGCCUUGUCUGUUGCCAUUGAUUCAGUUGCUCCGUACGUAACUAAAAAACGAACAUUGAAAAAACCAGCUCCUUGGUUUGAUGCAGAAACUCGCAUUUUGAAGCGAAAUUGCAGGAUCCUUGAACGCAAAUGGCGCUCGACUAAACUUGAGGUCUUUCAUCUUGCAUGGCAUAAUAGUCUGAUCACCUAUAAGGGCGCGCUGACUAUCGCCAGGAACGCCUACUUUUCUAGUAUCAUUAAUUUGAAUAGAAAUAAUCCUAAAUUUCUUUUUGACACGGUGAGGAGUCUCACUCAGAAACAGAAUCAGACCGUAGGCUCCUCGAUUUCGGCAGGUGAAUUUAUGGAUUUCUUUGAGAAUAAGAUUCAAUCAAUUAGAGAGGAAAUUGAUGCUUACCGGGCGGCUAAUCCUACACAUCCUGUGGGGCAGGAUGGGGUUCUGCCAAAUAGGAUGGUGAAUUCCGACGCAACUCUUUUGGAGUUUAAGGCGAUUUCCUUGGUGGAACUUGAAAGGGUGAUAAAGGCCUCAAAGCCAACAACUUGUGUGUUGGAUCCGCUCCCUUCUAGGGUUCUUAAGGAUCUUUUUCCAACGGUGGGGCCUGUUAUCCUCUUGCUUAUGAAUCUUUCGUUUUCAACAGGAAUUGUUCCUUCCAAUUUCAAGGCUGCGGUGUUAAAACCGCUACUUAAAAAGCCUGGCCUAGAUCCUGAAUUAGUCAGGAACUAUCGGCCUAUAUCGAAUCUGCCCUUCUUGUCUAAGGUACUGGAAAGGAUUGUAGCAAAGCAAAUUGUUGACUAUUUGGCGAGGAAUAAUCUCUUCGAACCUUUCCAGUCGGGGUUCAGGAAUUUCCACUCAACUGAAACUGCUAUUACAAGAGUUGUAAAUGACAUCCUUCUUGCUUUGGAUAAAAAUACAAGCACAAUGCUUGUGAUGUUGGAUCUGAGCGCUGCGUUUGAUACGAUUGACCAUAGCACUCUUCUCCACCGUCUUGAACACUAUGUUGGUUUCGGGGGUACGGCUCUUGGUUGGCUUGAAUCGUACCUCACAGA